UACGAAGGGUGCAACCGUUGCUCGGAAUUAUUGGGCGUAAAGCGCACGUGGGCGGCUUUGCAAGUCCCAUGUGAAAUCCCACGGCUCAACCGUGGAAGUGCAUGGGAAACUGCAGAGCUUGAGUACUUAAGAGGAUCGCGGAAUUCCCGGUGUAGAGGUGAAAUUCGUAGAUAUCGGGAGGAACACCAGUGGCGAAGGCGGCGAUCUGGGAAGAUACUGACGCUGAGGUGCGAAAGCGUGGGGAGCAAACAGG
rnacentral:rRNA from 1 species